UAAAUGGUUGAAAUGCCCCCACCGGUGCAUCUUUUGGUUUCGGUGGUAAACUUGUUUCUUUCCAUCCGGUGGCACCCACCCAAGGUGCGCAAACAUCUACAUCUGAGGUACAUGUGCACAAUUUGGUGAUUGAGCAAAGUCUGGUGAGCCGAUCAACUGAAUUUGAAGCUGCUAUUCAGAAUGGCGACAAAAGUUCGCUAUGUGCUCUGUGUGAAAAAAAUACCAAGAAUCUUUAUCUGACGAGGAGAGAGAAACCUGGGGCUUCUUAAGGGUUAUGUUUGAGGACGGGGAUUUUGCAAGGACAAAAUUGCUUGCUCAUCUUGGCUUCGAACCACCUCAGGCACCGCCUGCAAGUUCAACUGAUGAAUUGAGCCAAAUAUUGGCAGAUACACUUAAUAUUGAUCAUGCUGCAGUAACCGAUAAUGCGGAUGCCCAGUUUCUUAUUGAUAAUGGGGAUGAUUUUUUCAACAAUCCUCAACCUUCAGAGGCUAGCUUGGCUGAAGAAUCAGUUUCUACAAAUGGUCAACAGAUAGAACAGGAAGUUUCUGGAGAUGCUGUGCCAUCAGAUCCAUCAAUUGACAAAAGCAUUCAACAUGCGUUGGUGGUUGGAGACUACAAAGGGGCAGUUAACCAGUGUCUUGCUUCUAAUCGUAUGGCUGAUGCUUUGGUUAUAGCCCAUGCAGGUGGUUCUGCUCUCUGGGAAAGCACAAGAAAUCAUUAUCUCAAGAACAGUAUCUCACCCUACUUAAAGGUUGUCUCUGCUAUGGUGGGCAAUGAUUUAAUGAGUUUUGUGAGUACCUGGCCACUAAGUUCAUGGAAAGAAACUCA